UGUGCCACUGCACUCCAGACUGGGUGACAGGAGUGUGACCUUGUCUCAAAAAAACAAACAAAAAAUAAACAAGCAUUUCCCUGCAUACCUCACAAGGUUCUUAUGAUAAUUUAUUAAAAGAUUGAUAGCAGCAGCAGCAGCAGCAGCAAGAUCUCAUUUCAGUUUCAGAUUCUGAGAAGCUGCUUUUGGUUUCUAUGGUUGGCUACCUUGAGGUCCCAGGCAAGGCCCAGAGAGUUACUUUAAAAGCCCCCAAAUCACUUAAAAGCCCUCAAGCAAUUUGGGCAUGGCCACAACCUGUAUUUCCCCAUUCAGAAGCAACAAGGUCUCCCAAAACAGAUGUAGUUGGAAAAAUUCUUGACAAAAUUCCUCCAAACCAGAAAUUCUCAAAACCAGACAUGUUGGCGCAUCAAAAUCAGUUCCCAGCAAUGAAUCAAAGCCUUAGAAUCUCAGGCACAGAAGCCAGAUGGGAGCUCAAAUCUUCAGGCAGAAUAUCUACGGCCUUAGGUUGCAAUAUCUGCUUUGAGUAGUGUUUACCAAAUAUCUCUAUGGGUUGCACUAAAAAUUCCAUAUGGUAUAUGUGUGGGAGAAUUACACGGGAAGGAUAAGUGUGGGAUGCAGGAUAGUGGUUGUGAGGGAGGUUGUGGGGAGGGGAAGAAAGAAAUGGGACUGGGAGAGGCACACAGUGGACUUCAGUGGUAUUGACAAUUACUAUUUUUAAAAAAGCUGAGUGGCAGGUAUAUGAUUAUUUUUAUGAUCCUGUAUAAUUACAUAUGUGUACAGACAUAUAUUUCAUAUGUGUGAAGCAUUUAAUAAUAAAAAGGGGAGAAAAGCAGAAAGGAGGCCCCAAAUCCAGAAAAGAUCCCACCUCGCUGCCUUCUAUUUGUCAAAGUGUAGAUCAGUGGGCAUAGGGCCACCUGGGAACACUGUUUCUGCUUUGGUCUAGGACAUAAUCUAGGCCUGGAAAACAGUCUGCUCGAUCAUUUAACAUUGCUCUAUUUCAAGUAAAAUGUCCUUGUAUGAUUUAUUCUCCAUGACACCAAUUUGCUACGAGGAUAUUUGGAGUUAACGUCUCUGGUUUGGUCCUGCCUGCCAAACACAUUCCCUAAGUGACUGUCUUUCAUGGUCAGAUGAGAGGUUUCUGGAAGUGCUAGUACUAUCUUCUCUUAGCUAAAGAGAGAAUCUUUUCUCUCAAGAUAUAAACAAGAGAAGCAUCAGUGGCGGCAGCUGCUGGCCCGGCACUGCCCCGUGCCAGCUCGCUAAGCACUUGGUCCCAGCUGGAGAGACUUGAUAGGACUUUGCCGUUCUGCCUGCCACAGCUGUUCACUUCUCAGGAAGGGAGUCCAGAAGCUAUGUGGCUGCCUGUGUGGUCAGACGUGGGUGAGAAGAUGAGGAUGGAUGCUUGCUCCUCUCAUGGAAACAGAUAACUUCCGUACCUGCCAAACCAAUGGCAGAGGAGCUGGGAAGCUCACAGGCAUUGCUGAGGCCUUUGAAGAUGUUAGCUGAGAAAGGCAGACCAGCCAGCAUGGAGCUGCCCUCCCUCCCACUCAGCGCCUUUCCUAGGCCAAGGACCAGGUGAAGGUGAUUGUCAAAGGCUGGACAGUGGUCAGGAGCGGGCUGGGAUGAGUGCUGGGCUUGUUAGCAGAGCUCUUAGCUUUUGAGUGACCUCUCUGGGUCCUACACUGUACUCCAGGGUCACAGUUAAGAUAUUUAGCAACCAGGAUGGCAUAGGCACCGGCCAAUUGGAAUGGAGAAGGGCUUUAUUGCUGGAGGUCUUAGCUGCACCUGGCCUGAGCUUUUAGGUGCUGGAUGGUAGAGCGAUGGGGAGGACCUGAGGGAAGGACCGGGGUGUGGGUGUGGGCAGGCCUUGGGGAGCUCAGAGCAUCCACUGUUCACCUAUCAGUACAAACCUCUUUCAACAUUCUACCAACCAGUGUUGCCACACUCCUGCUGGAUGUCAGGGCUGAAUGUUGGCUCUGCCAUGCCGUAUGAGAAAGGUGGAUUGGAGCCUCACACUUUAUGUGAAUCAGAAUCACUUGGGGAUAUUGUUAAAAACAGACACCCAGAACCCGCCUUCAAACUACUGAGUGAGACUCUCUAGGGCCCAGGCCAGGCUUACUACACUCCUAAGUCCUGAGUGUCCUGGAUCAGCUGAUCCCUAAGUAUUCGGCUGCGACUUUCUAGGGGGUUAUGAGGACUUGAGAGAUGCGGUCCUGCACAGUCUCUGGAGGGAAUGUGCCUAAUUCAGGGGCAGGUCACGUGGGUGAGUGAAGCAGGCUGCUGUGGCGCAGUAUGUUGAAGAAUGAAUGUUCAUUUAUUUGAAGCCGCCUUGACCCUGAUCCAGCCGCCUGGGUUGCUGCUGCCGGGGAAGGCAGGCCUGGUGUGGACGGACCCCCUGACUUUUCAAGACACACUGGAGGUCACUGAGCCAUGUUUUGAGUCAGUUCUGCAUCUCAUCAAGACACAGGUAAUCAGAAGAGGGGUUUGGAAACUCAAGAGCACAUAAGUGAACAAAACAUCAAGCUUGCUCUUAAAAGUUUUUCAAUCUUACGCAUGUUGAAAUGGCCUCACUCCAGUCUUGCUCGAAGUCUGCUGGGUAAACUGCAAGUUCUAACAGACUAAGAGGAAGUGCUUCAGUCACCUAAGGUCGUAUUUUAUUUUGUGCUUUUCCAAGCAGUGGGAUUAUGUAAUCACCUCGCAUUGUAGCAGUCUUGCUGUUCAUAAUCUUGCUAUUCAUGCAGUGGGGUAUAGAGAGGCAUUAAUUUAGGUCUUCAUGGAUCUCCUGAAUCCGCAAUGAUCAUUUGAAAGAAGAAUUCCGAGCAGCUUAGUGGUAGAGAUAAGACCCAACAUUACUUUGCUGAUGGAAUGGUGGAGGUGUCCUUUUCUGCUGGUCCCCAGAUAAGUAAGGAGACCCCAGGGGUGAAAAAACCACAGGAACACAGCUCAUCCCCAGGAAACUGGUGGACAAAUGAGCAAAGAUAUAUGUGCUAGGGGGUUUAACAUAAUGCUGUGGAAUAAACAGGGAAUUGGUUGAAUAAAUUAUUAUACACCCAUACCCAUACAAUGAAAAACUUUGCAGUCAUUAAAAUUGAUGUUUUUCUAUAAUUAAUAAUAUUGAGCGUUACUGAUAAUAUACCAUUAAGUGUAACAGAAGAGGUUAAGAAUAAUUAUGUAGACUAGAUUUUCAUUAUAAAUACAUAUGUAUGUUUUUUAUCUAGGGAAAAUGUUAGAUGACUAUAUGCCAAUAUUUUAGAAGUGGUUAUCUCUAAGUGGUGAGAUUUUUGAAUAUUGAAAAAACGCUUUUUUUCUAAGUGCUUAGCUGUGUUCUCUAACUUUUCUAUAAUAAAAUAAUUGUAUUGCUUAUUAAAAUUGGACAGUUAGAAAAUGAAUGAAGUUGGUGGAUGAGAGGUAAAAGGUAUGAGAGGAAUUUAGAAAGUAAGCCAAGCUGAGUAGGAUAAGCAAACUAUGCAACUAACUUUUUUGGGGAAGGUGUUCCCUACCUGAGAAAUAAGCACGUAAAAGCUGGAUGAGAAUGGGUUUCUGGGGAAUGACCCAAAUCUGUUAGACCCCCGGGGUUGGGUACAUCAGGGAACAAUAAUUGUUCCUCCAUACUUCUUCCUCUCAAUUUUCCAUUGUAAUAUCACAUUUUUCUGGGUACAUGACUACCUGGAAUAUUGGUCACAUUUUUAGCCUUUCUGGUGAUUAAGUCCAGGCCAGUGUGGGAGUAAGCAACCUUUAGGAAGCAUCCGUCCGGAGUUUUCUUUUCCUCUCCUCCAUCUUGCUAUGUGGAAUGCAGACAUGAUCCCUAGAGCUCUAGCUGCCAUCUUGAAUACUGAGGACGAGGGCCACACCUAAUAGGGAAGGGGCCUGGGUUUCAGAGCUUCCACACCCAUCCUGGAUUACUUCACAUCCAGACUUUUGGUGGAGAGCUAAAUAAACUUCCACCUUGCUGAAUGAACUGUGAGGCUUUUUUUUUAUUAUUUAUGAAAAACAGAAAAGAGAAAAGGAAAGAAAGGGAGAAUGAGAAGAUAAAGAAGAAAAGAUCUAAGCCCCUUUAGAUUUGCAUAAUGAUAAUAUCAAUAGCUAACCUUUACUGAGUGCUUCUUUCUUGUGCCAGAUUCUUUGCUAAGUGCUCUAAUUCUCUUUGCUAAGCACUCUCUAAUUCUCACAACAAUCUUUGAGGUGUGUAUUAUUUCAAAUGUCAAUUUUUAGAUUAAAAAACUGGGGAUCAGAAAAUGAUAUGGUUUGGCUGUGUCCCCACCCAAAUCUCAACUUGAAUU
rnacentral:lncRNA from 1 species